UAAGAGGAGAUUUUGUUGUAUUCAGUGUCUCUGGAAGGGCAUUUUAAGGAUAACAUUUUCAUUUUGUAUGUGGUCAGUUUUGGUGCCCAGAUCACAUGAGUGAUUUUUUACAAGGUCACAAUUUAAACGUUUGAGACUUUUUCCAGAGGUAGAGAAUUUAUCUGAUGUUUUUCCUGGAUUGUCCAGAUUUUUAUUUCAAGAAUUUUGUACAUUUUAACAGGGUAAAACAAAGUAGAAAAAGCCCUCCCACUUCCCUUAAAAGCUGCCGUUAAUACUUUAACUUCCUUGGCGUGGUGAGCCUUAGUGAAGGCCAUCAGAGCUUGAAGGGCAGGCUGUGGCCCUUCCAGGUUAUGGACCUUUAUUAAUUUUAGAUGGAUUUAGUCCUAAGUAGACCCAGAGCUUUCUUUCUCUGGUAAAUAUUUAGUUUAUGAGGCUUUUUUUUUUUUUUAGAAAGCUUUAUGCCAGGUCCCUUUUUUUACAAAUUGCAACUUGAAUCUCUUCGUCCCUUUUGGGCAGGAAGCACAUAUAGUCUUUAGAUUUAGCUGUUGGUUAUUGUUUUAAUCACUGUAGGGGUAACACUGAAUCACUGGAACUUUGUUGACCGUCCCCUCCCCUUUCACCCUGGCCAGAGACCUGCCCUGGGCUCGGCUUGGACCCGCGGCCGCUGUUGCUGAUUCUGAACCGGCACCUUCGUGCCACUGUGCGGUUCCAGGUGGCAGGAUCUGUCUUGGAAUAGACAGAUCCUACCACCGGGAAUAGACUGAUUCUCUAUGUGCACUUCUCCCCGCUUUGUAACUCACGCGGUGACAGUUCAGACCGCCCUGGGCGGCCUGGGCCACGUGCUGCCCCUGCCCCUCUCCGCCUGGGCUUCCCGGAAAGCGCCCUCCUUUAUGUUGUCACAGAGCCGCCGGGUCACGGUUUAGGAGGGGCUGCGGGAGGCUACCGUCAGGAGAAGGACCUCGAGAUGGGACCUCGUGCUGGGCAGCACCUCCUUGGCGGGGAUCUGCCGGCUGCAUGGUUGUCACCUGAGCAAACGUUGCUCUGUUGGCUCAUCUGGGAGGGGCUCAGGGCGCUAGGGUGGAUUUUUCUGAGGUGAAAUCACAUCACAUAAAGUUAACCGUUUCGAAGUGUACGGUCCAGUGGUGCGUAGGACCUUCACCGCGUUGUGCUACCGCUGCCUGUGUCUAGUUCCAGAAUAUUUUCAUCCCCCGAAGGAAGGCCCACACCUGUCAGCAGUCCCUCGCACGCCUCCCUCCCCCAGCCCCUGGCCACACCGCCCGCCCUCCGUCUCAGGACUUGCCUGCGCUGCACGUUUCACGAGAAUGGAAUCUCACAUUACACAUUUCUGUAAGUUAUCAUUUAUUCUGUGUGCUUCUAUAAACUCAUCUUUUUUUGAACAAGACAUAAGCUUAAAUCAUCUCAGAAGGACAAGGUCCACCAGCUCAUGGCAUUCACUCAGGCUGGUGAGAGAACGGCCAUCCACUGCUUAGCCCAAAGUGAGUGGAAACUGGACACGCCACGGACAGCUUCUUCCAGAACCCGGCCUCGUUCCACAAGGACUCCACGAGAACCUCCGCCGUCAGGAAGAAGCUGGAGCCGCUGUAUAACAGGUGCAAAGGUAGGGGGCGCAGUGGCGACUGCGUCCGUCUCCAGGGAGCAGGGUGGCUGUUCUGGAGUCUCCGUGCUGCGUCCCAGGGCCCCCGACGUGCAUUCCUUCCCGUGCAGAUGUUCAGCUGCACGAUUCAGUCAGUCUAAGUGGGACCGUGGCUGCUGAUGGCGCGAGGCUGGGCUGGGACGAGACGCGUGGGGUCUGAGGACUGACGAGCAGCGAGCCCUCCUGCGCGUGGCCCGGGCGGAGGCUCGUGUGCCCCCGGUCAGCUGCGGGCGGUCACUGCCCGGAGGCCUGGUGUCCAGGCCAGGUGGCUACACUCGUUAAGACAGUGCUCUUCCCCAGCACUUCCACGUAGGCAGGAAUACGUGGUGAGAAGGCCGUUUCAGAACGAUACCAAAUCGUAAGAAUAAUUCUGACGUGAGGGUACAGGACGCCGUGUGCUGGUGUUGGAGCCCUGGAACAGCUCCAGCUGCAGAAGCUUCUGAAAAAACUCUUGGCAAAAAAACCUUUGUGUUGUCAGUUGGGGACAGUUGUUAUUUUAAUUGAAAUUGGCACUUAGAAUGGAGCUUUCCCUAUCAAAAUACAGUCAUGCUGCAAAAAUAAGUCUGCAUGAUAAGUCUGUUUAGAUCCAGACUGCUCAGCAGGCUUUAAAUUCCACAUCAAAUGUCAGGUCUAUGCUGUAAUGGGAGAGGCGGCAAUGAUUCAAGAGCUGAUUUUUUUUGUUUUUCUAGCAGUUUCUAAGGUUAAUCUUAUCUUUCCAAAACUUAAAAAAUAAAAUCCCUCAUUUAAACAAGUAUUAACACAAACAGAGUAACUCCCUUGGCUUUAAGUUCUUGUUUAUUUAUUAUUUUCAUUUUUUACUUUUGAAAAUACUGUGUAUAAUCUGUCUAUUUAGAUCCAAAAAAUCAAUUGAAAAUUGCAUUCCUUUUUUUUUUUAAAAAAAAUCUUGGUUCAGAAACAUGUUCUGUGGUUUGAAAAACAGAUUUGUACUUGUUGUAGUUCUCCAAAAAUGAACAUUGUUUUCAGUGUGCUUUAAAUUUUUUUGGCUAAGUUAAUUACUGAGCUAAUUUUGUAAGUCAUGUGCUAUGCAGAUUUUAAAAGUUAUUCAGAUAUGUGCAGCUGCCUUUGGAAAAAUAUUUUUAUGUGAAAAUUAUCUUUAAGCUUCAUCCCUUAUCAUUUAAUUUUAUUCAUGCAAUUCUAGUCAUUUAAAGUAGACAUAUGGUACAAUCAUUUUGGGCCCUAAAAGUAGAUGUAUAGUUCAAAGACUAUUGACAAAUAGAACAACUGUUGUUACACAAUGUAUACAAAUGAAUGAGUGCUUCCAAACUACUUUAAAGCAUUCAAAAUCAUUGUAUAUGAAGUUUAUCAGGACGAUUAUUAGGUGAGGGCAUCGUAGACCCAUUUUUCUGUUAUCCUGAAGGUCUGUCGUGUUCGGAGCACAGGCCUGAGUCAGGAGGUGUGUGGGAAUCUCUGACCUAUGAGCCCACAGCGGCAGGUUCUCACGGACACAGGAGCGUAGAGUUGGAAGGGUCUGUGUGAUUUUGCUCAUUUAAGACCCACAAGAUGAAAAUAAAAUUGGAAUUGAUGGAAUUCAAAAGUUUUGUGAUGAUUUAAGCGUAGAUCCUGCCAGUGUCACCGUUUUGGGUAUAGCUGGAAAUUUAGGGCCACAACUCUAUGUGAAUUUAGCAAAAAGGAAUUUGUAGAUGGCAUGGCAGAGCUUGGGGUUGGGAUAAAAGCUUCAUUCAUACCUUAACAUGUUUCUUACUUGCUGGAUGAGUCGGAGAGGUAAAGGAAAGCACAUAAACACCUUCUAAUCACUAAGCUUAUUGAACUGUUUCAGGAGACUUAGAAGUGGCCGUCGCAUAUUGGAAUUUGGUAUUAUCCGGAAGCCUUAAGUUUUUAGAUCUUUGGAACAUCUUUUUGUUGGAGCAUCGCAAGAGAUCAAUCCCAAGGAACACUUGGAACCUUCUGCUAGAUUUUGGAAAUAUGAUUGCAGAUGACAUGUCCAGCUAUGAUGAAGAAGGAGCAUGGCCUGUUCUUAUAGAUGAUUUCGUAGAAUAUGCACGGCCAGUGGUCACAAGUGGUAAAGGCAGCCCUCUCUAGGCAGAAAAUCGAGAUGGAUUAAGGUGAAAAGGGAACUGUCCUGCAGGAGACACUGGUCAGCUAUGCCUGUCGCCCAUUUUGGAAGUCAUCCUGACCAGUCGUGAGACUGGAGACCCUCUCCUGCUGCUUAGAGAAGACACCACUGACUGUGGACGCCGCACGGAGACCCUCUGAGCUCGCUGUUGGGGCGCCCAGAGACGGGGCCCUAGCUGUUGCUGUAAGAGACCUCUGCAUGAUUUCCGCAUUUACGGAGGAGCUGGGGCCUGUCUGCAGGCUGCAGGGUCGCUGUUGAUCAUGACCCAAAGCAAGGCUGUGCUCACCACACUCGCUGAAUUGUCCGUAACCACCCCUGAGAAACAGUACAAGUCAGGCUGCUGGAAACGUGCCCUAAAGAAGAUGAUCGUCGUGGAUGCUGACGGUUUUAAACUUGGUGCCAGGGUUAAGAUUUAUAUUUUUUGAAUCAUCAAGUGUCUAGAUUUAUCAGCUCUAUUUUCAUUUCACUUUUCUCUGGAUGUUCAUCUGGGAAUCAUUUUACAGGUUAACGCGCUGUUGCAGUUUGCAAAGCGAUGGUGUCAUCGUGAUUCCAGAAAAGUGUUCUUUUAAAUUGCCUGCAAGUCAGUAGGUCUGCUUUACUUCUACUAAUGUCAGCUGAACUUCCUAAGAAGCUUCAUAAAGUAUGCUUUUAAAAAAACUGUAUUUAAAAGGACAUUUUU